CGGGGGGCAGCAGUAAGGAAUAUUGGUCAAUGGACGCAAGUCUGAACCAGCCAUGCCGCGUGGAGGAUGAAGGCCCUCUGGGUUGUAAACUUCUUUUAUCUGGGACGAAAAAAGGUUUUUCUAAAUCGUCUGACGGUACCAGAUGAAUAAGCACCGGCUAACUCCGUGCCAGCAGCCGCGGUAAUACGGAGGGUGCAAGCGUUAUCCGGAUUCACUGGGUUUAAAGGGUGCGUAGGCGGGCAGGUAAGUCAGUGGUGAAAUCCUUGAGCUUAACUCGAGAACUGCCAUUGAUACUAUCUGUCUUGAAUAUUGUGGAGGUGAGCGGAAUAUGUCAUGUAGCGGUGAAAUGCUUAGAUAUGACAUAGAACACCCAUUGCGAAGGCAGCUCACUACGCAUAUAUUGACGCUGAUGCACGAAAGCGUGGGGAUCAAACAGGAUUAGAUACCCCGGU
rnacentral:rRNA from 1 species